UACGUAGGGUGCAAGCGUUGUCCGGAAUUAUUGGGCGUAAAGAGCUCGUAGGCGGCUUGUCGCGUCGGCUGUGAAAACCUGCAGCUUAACUGUGGGCGUGCGGUCGAUACGGGCAUCACUGGAGUUCGGCAGGGGAGACUGGAAUUCCUGGUGUAGCGGUGAAAUGCGCAGAUAUCAGGAGGAACACCGGUGGCGAAGGCGGGUCUCUGGGCCGAUACUGACGCUGAGGAGCGAAAGCCAGGGGAGCAAACGGG
rnacentral:rRNA from 1 species